rnacentral:rRNA from 1 species
UGGGGAAUAUUGCACAAUGGGCGAAAGCCUGAUGCAGCAACGCCGCGUGAGUGAUGAAGGCCUUCGGGUCGUAAAACUCUGUCCUCAAGGAAGAUAAUGACGGUACUUGAGGAGGAAGCCCCGGCUAACUACGUGCCAGCAGCCGCGGUAAUACGUAGGGGGCUAGCGUUAUCCGGAUUUACUGGGCGUAAAGGGUGCGUAGGUGGUCUCUUAAGUCAGGAGUGAAAGGCUACGGCUUAACCGUAGUAAGCUCUUGAAACUGGGAGACUUGAGUGCAGGAGAGGAAAGUGGAAUUCCUAGUGUAGCGGUGAAAUGCGUAGAUAUUAGGAGGAACACCAGUAGCGAAGGCGGCUUUCUGGACUGUAACUGACACUGAGGCACGAAAGCGUGGGGAGCAAACAGG